AUUGAACGCUGGCGGCAGGCCUAACACAUGCAAGUCGAGCGAGCGGCGGACGGGUGAGUAAUGUCUGGGAAACUGCCCGAUGGAGGGGGAUAACCACUGGAAACGGUAGCUAAUACCGCAUACCAUCAGAUGUGCCCAGAUGGGAUUAGCUAGUAGGUGGGGUAACGGCUAACCUAGGCGACGAUCCCUAGCUGGUCUGAGGGGAUGACCAGCAACACUGGAACUGAGACACGGUCCAGACUCCUACGGGAGGCAGCAGUGGGGAAUAUGGCACAAUGGGGGCAAGCCUGAGGCAGCCAUGCCGCGUGUGUGAAGAAGGCCUUCGGGUUGUAAAGCACUUUCAGCGGGGAGGCGUUACCCGCAGAAGAAGCACCGGCUAACUCCGUGCCAGCAGCCGCGGUAAUUC
rnacentral:rRNA from 1 species